rnacentral:rRNA from 1 species
GACGAACGCUGGCGGCGUGCUUAACACAUGCAAGUCGAGCGGUAAGGCCCUUUCGGGGGUACACGAGCGGCGAACGGGUGAGUAACACGUGGGUGACCUGCCUCUAGCUCUGGGAUAAGCCCGGGAAACUGGGUCUAAUACUGGAUAUGACUCCAUGACGCAUGUUGUGGGGUGGAAAGCCUUGUGCGGCUAGAGAUGGGGCCCGCGGCCUAUCAGCUUGUUGGUGGGGGAUGGCCUACCAAGGCGACGACGGGUAGCCGGCCUGAGAGGGCGACGGCCACACUGGGACUGAGACACGGCCCAGACUCCUACGGGAGGCAGCAGUGGGGAAUCUUGCGCAAUGGGCGAAAGCCUGACGCAGCGACGCCGCGUGAGGGAUGACGGCCUGGUGUAAC